UACGUAGGGGGCAAGCGUUAUCCGGAUUUACUGGGUGUAAAGGGAGCGUAGACGGCCAGACAAGUCUGAAGUGAAAAUCCAGCGCUUAACGCUGGAAGUACUUUGGAAACUGCCGGGCUGGAGUGCAGGAGGGGCAGGCGGAAUUCCUAGUGUAGCGGUGAAAUGCGUAGAUAUUAGGAGGAACACCAGUGGCGAAGGCGGCCUGCUGGACUGCAACUGACGUUGAGGCUCGAAGGCGUGGGGAGCAAACAGG
rnacentral:rRNA from 1 species